GAGUAAAGUUACAUAUAUAAAAAAGUAAAAAAUAUACAUAUGUCCAUACAAUUAAAUAUACACGUAGACUUCAAAUAUGUAUAUAUUUUUAAAUUCUACGUGCAUAUUUAUGUAGUAUUUUUACAUAAUUAAUUUUAUUGAUUGCAAUUUGAGCAACCUACCUGACAACCCAGGCCAAAAGUCCAGAGAAUUUAAUUUGCUAGCACUGUAUUUAACCCUGUAAUACACAAUGACACCCUAAAACCUGUACAUGAGGGGGUACGGUUUUACUCAAGAGACUUCGCUGAACACAAAUAUUAGUGUUUCAAAACAGUAAGACAUCACAGCGAUGAUAGUCAGCAAAAGUGGCUUUUUUUUGCAUUUUUCACACAGUGGCACUUUCACUGAGGAUAUCAUUGUUGUGAUACGUUUUACUGUUUUGAAAC